rnacentral:rRNA from 1 species
AUGGCUCUCAUUGAAGCAGAUGCCAUGGAACUGGAGGAUGUUCUUCUGGCCACAGCUCAUCAGCUGCAGCAAGUCCUGACGGAUCUCGACAUCGUAAGCACUGCCCAUGUUACAACCCCUCAUUUUGUUAACCCAAACCUUCCUUCCUCUAUGGACUCCCCUGAACGAUUGCGUGAUCCUUCUUCCUGGCAGCCGCAGAGCCCGAAGGGGAGCUUCACACCGCCGCCACCGCCGCCACUGUUCUUCCGAUGCUUCUUUGUUGCCGAUUUUAGGGCAGCCUCGACACGGCUCUUGAAGAGCUCCUCGCUCCCGGAUUGCACAAUUAUCAGGACAGCACCAAGUGUCAAUCCUCUCUUCUCGAAGAUCUGGAUCUUCUUGCAACUGAACAAUGGGCUGUCGAGUGAGCCUGACAUUGACUGCCAUGAAAGUGGGGCAUUGCAGGCAAAAGUGAGCUGA